UGGAGGGGCAGGCAUUUCCGCAAAUGAGGGGGGGGGCCGGGGGGAAGGGUGCGUAACGGGUGAUCAACAUGCCCUUUACAGGGAGAUACACCAGGGAAAACUUGUUUUAAUAUCCCAUAGCAUUCAUGAAAGGCAUCUUUAAUGAAUUAAAGUUUCGGUGGUAUAGGAUUGGCUCGCGUGACAUUAGCCAGAUGGUGAGGUAACGGCUCACCAUUAGCAAUGAUGUCUAGGGGUUUUGAGAGGAAGGCCCCCCACACUGGGACUGAGACACGGCCCAGACUCCUACGGGAGGCAGCAGUGAGGAAUAUUGGACAAUGGAUGGAAAUCUGAUCCAGCCAUGCCGCGUGCAGGAAGACGGCUUUAUGGGUUGUAAACUGCUUUUAUACGGGAGCAAUAAGGGUUACGAGUAAUCCGAUGAGAGUACUGUAUGAAUAAGGAUCGGCUAACUCCGUGCCAGCAGCCGCGGUAAUACGGAGGAUCCGAGCGUUAUCCGGAAUUAUUGGGUUUAAAGGGUGCGUAGGCGGCCAUUUAAGUCAGCGGUGAAAUUUUGCAGCUUAACUGUAACAGUGCCGUUGAUACUGUUUGGCUAGGAUUUGGUUGUAGUGUGCGGAAUGUGUGGUGUAGCGGUGAAAUGCUUAGAUAUCACACAGAACACCGAUUGCGAAGGCAGCACAUUAAGUCAUUAUUGACGCUGAGGCACGAAAGUGUGGGGAUCAAACAGGAUUAGAUACCCUGGUAGUCCACACUGUAAACGAUGAUAAAUCGCUGUCGGCGAUACACAGUCGGUGCCAAGCGAAAGCAUUAA
rnacentral:rRNA from 1 species